GACAGCAGUAGCCGCGGUAAUACAGAGGGUGCGAGCGUUAAUCGGAUUUACUGGGCGUAAAGCGUGCGUAGGCGGCUUUUUAAGUCGGAUGUGAAAUCCCUGAGCUUAACUUAGGAAUUGCAUUCGAUACUGGGAAGCUAGAGUAUGGGAGAGGAUGGUAGAAUUCCAGGUGUAGCGGUGAAAUGCGUAGAGAUCGGAGGAAUACCGAUGGCGAAGGCAGCCAUCUGGCCUAAUACUGACGCUGAGGUACGAAAGCAUGGGGAGCAAACAGGAUUAGAUACCCGAGUAGUCCCUGUCUCUUAUACA
rnacentral:rRNA from 1 species